GAUGAACGCUAGCUACAGGCUUAACACAUGCAAGUCGAGGGGCAGCGGGAUUGAAGCUUGCUUCAAUUGCCGGCGACCGGCGCACGGGUGAGUAACGCGUAUCCAACCUUCCGUACACUCAGGGAUAGCCUUUCGAAAGAAAGAUUAAUACCUGAUGGUAUGAUGAGAUUGCAUGAUAUCAUCAUUAAAGAUUUAUCGGUGUACGAUGGGGAUGCGUUCCAUUAGGUAGUAGGCGUGGUAACGGCCCACCUAGCCAACGAUGGAUAGGGGUUCUGAGAGGAAGGUCCCCCACAUUGGAACUGAGACACGGUCCAAACUCCUACGGGAGGCAGCAGUGAGGAAUAUUGGUCAAUGGACGAGAGUCUGAACCAGCCAAGUAGCGUGAAGGAUGAAGGUCCUACGGAUUGUAAACUUCUUUUAUAAGGGAAUAAACCCUCCCACGUGUGGGAGCUUGUAUGUACCUUAUGAAUAAGCAUCGGCUAACUCCGUG
rnacentral:rRNA from 1 species